GAUGAACGCUGGCGGCGUGCCUAACACAUUCAAGUCGAACGGACUUAACCUAGAAGCUUGCUUCCGGGUUAAGUUAGUGGCGGACGGGUGAGUAACGCGUGAGCAACCUGCCUGUGUGAGGGGAAUAACGACUGGAAACGGUCGCUAAUACCGCAUAACGUACACUGAUCGCAUGUUUGGCGUACCAAAGAUUUAUCGCACACAGAUGGGCUCGCGUUGGAUUAGAUAGUUGGUGAGGUAACGGCUCACCAAGUCUGCGAUCCAUAGCCGGACUGAGAGGUUGAACGGCCACAUUGGAACUGAGAAACGGUCCAGACUCCUACGGGAGGCAGCAGUGGGGAAUAUUGCACAAUGGGCGAAACCCUGAUGCAGCGACGCCGCGUGAGUGAAGAAGUAUUUCGGUAUGUAAAGCUCUAUCAGCAGGAGAAAAUGACGGUACCUGACUAAGAAGCCCCGGCUAACUACGUG
rnacentral:rRNA from 1 species